rnacentral:lncRNA from 1 species
UGAGAGCCAGACCACCGUGUAGGUGAGAGCUCCUGGCUCCUGGAGCAAGACGCUAGCGUGACGAGCCAGUGAGGAUCUGUGUCGGUCAGCCCUGCCGGCCCAGUGAGCAGGCCCUCAUCCUGUCUUGUCACCAGGUCCUGGAAGACACCACGCUGGUGGUUCGUUGCAUUUCAUGUUGGUUGGACAUUUCUCUCUUCCCAUAUAAUGGUUCCUACCUCUGUGAAGAAUAUUUGUCAUCCCGUCAUACUAAUGUGGAAAAUGAUGCUCUUCACAUAUGGUUUCCCUGGAGUGAAGCAACAGAUCUACGCCCUGAUUAUCCUCCUUUUUAGUUUUGUGAUCUGGGUAUUCGGUAUUGUCCUAAUGAACAGUCUAUCCUGGCGCGUGUGGGAAUUUGACAAAGAGGGUAUUCUCAUUGCCUUCAUUGGCCUUUGGAAGGCUCAGUACUAUGUCAGGGGAGGCAUCUCAGGCUCGGCACAUAUUAUAGUAGUAGAAUCCAAAAUCAGCAGUGACUGGACCCACGCAAUUGAGCUUGAGUAUGCAAAGGAUCUAAUGGUGUUGGUGAAUUUUCUGCAGUCAGCAGCCCUGAUUUUAUGCACAGUGGCCUUUAUUGUUAGCAGGUUAAAGACCACCUACCCAGACUUCCUGCAAUUCUAUUACAGAACCUCAGCUGUCCUCCUUUUACUCAGCUCUGGCUGUGUGGCUCUGGCUGUUAGCUGGAACUAUGCCAUGGACAUUUCUGGCCAAAGCACCCUUGAUUUCCCAUUAAGCUUUUCUGUUGACAAAGAGGAUGUGAUCAAGAAACACUUGUCCCACGUGUUCCCACUGGGGAUGGUCACUGCUGCCCUGUCCCUCCUCAAUAGCACCCUGUGCUUCGGGUAUAUGUGCUUCACAAAGCCCAAGUCAGUGGCACCAAGUGAUGUUCCCUAAGGCUCACAUGAAAGCACAGAACUGAGGGCUGGAAGGUGUGGGAAGUCCUGACUGCAGGGUGCUUGAGGAAUUUGCCACCUAGGUGGCAUAGUGGGAUGAGUAUAUCCUCACUGCAAAUAAAAUUUAUGUCCUUGGUUUCUCUGUGUGUGUCUCAAGCUUCUGGGCUCCAGUGUUGCAUCA